UUUCUCACGAAGCAUCAGCAAGCUGCUCUUGUUGCUGCUGGAAUCUACAGUAGAGGCCAUUGGUGCAGCCUGAAGCUCAAGACGCUCAGGUUCCUUGGAAGAUGCCAAUGCAAAAUGAGGUGUACCAACCCUAAGUGUCCCAAAUAUCAGGAAUCGAGUGGACACCAUCUUCCUCUGUUUGGUGAGCAACUUGCCGAGUCACAAGACGAUACACAGUUCUCCUUUUCCUGACGCUGAUACAUGGCGAAGGCAGCGUCGCCGGCCUUGACCUUGCAUUGCACUGCACUGGACUACCAUGAGCUCACGUGAAGAGGAGCUGGAAAGGGCACGAACUCGGCGAGCCGCUCGUGUGCGCACACCUUGAUUGGACGACAAUGGUCGGCUGCUCAGUCAUGCAUGGCUGCGUUGGUUUUGAUGGAGAACGACUUGUGCCGCGGAGGUUGAGUCCGAGCAACGGAGUUCAGAUUUGCUGUAGUGAUUGUUGGCCGUCGGAUUUCUUUUAGUCAACCGGUGCCUUCUGCUGGUCGACACCUUGCCAGGUGAGACAACGGAAGUGAGCACAGCUGUGAACUGGUUGGUGGCGUCGUGUCAGAGAACCUGGACUUGAAAGUUGAAACAUACGGCUGGUGCUCGACUUUGGGUUCGUUUGCAUGGUCGCGUCUUAUUUAGGGACAAAUUUUUUUUGUCACUAGUAUAGCUAGAUAUAUAUGCUGUUGUCGUUUUUGCUCC